rnacentral:rRNA from 1 species
GAACAUCACUCAACCCUGUGACAACCUAUUGUUGCUUCGGCGGGAUCGCCCCGGCGCCCUCUGUCCCGGACCCAGGCGCCCGCCGGAGGACCCAAACUCUUGUCUUCAUGAGUAUCUUCUGAGUAACACAAGCAAAUAAAUUAAAACUUUCAACAACGGAUCUCUUGGUUCUGGCAUCUAUGAAGAACGCAGCGAAAUGCGAUAAGUAAUGUGAAUUGCAGAAUUCCGUGAAUCAUCGAAUCUUUGAACGCACAUUGCGCCCGCCAGUAUUCUGGCGGGCAUGCCUGUUCGAGCGUCAUUUCAACCCUCAAGCCCCCGGGCUUGGUGUUGGGGAUCGGCCGCCCUCCGGCGCGCCGGCCCCGAAAUCUAGUGGCGGUCUCGCUGUAGCCUCCUCUGCGUAGUAACACACCUCGCACCGGAACGCAGCCUGGCCACGCCGUUAAACCCCCCACUUCUGAAGGUUGACCUCGGAUCAGGUAUGAAUACCCGCUGAACUUAAGCAUAUCAAUAACGCGGAGGAAAACCCUGGUGCAACUUAUUCCUUCCCAAUAAGCGGAAAAAAACCGCUU